UCUGAAGUCGCUUCUGGCAGGACCGAUCCGAGAGGGCAGUGCGGAGGAGGUGGCCUUUGAGCCAGAGGCUGAGUCAUAGGUAGGAGUUCAGGACGUGGGAGGAAGGAAGAGGGAACGCCAGGUGGCAGAACAAAGGCCCCGAGUGGGAGAGCAGAGGCGUUUGUGGGGGAGCGGUGGUGCCCAGGAGAGCACUUAAUGAAGAUGGUGUGUGUCUGGAGGCUCUUUAAUUGAGAAAUGACAAGACAGAGGAAAGGGACGUUGAACUUCUAGGGCACCAAAUUGUGGAAACUCAAAAUAAUCCUUCUGCCGAAGCGGCAUACUUGGAGUGGCGUGUUCUGCUACCUGCCCUUCACAGCCAGCAUCUCAGUGUUCGCCUGGUUUUCGCCCUUUCCAUGCUCGUAACUCUCUCCUCCAAUGAGGCACCUGGCUGCCAGGACCCUCCUGCUUCACUUAUCAUUCAGCCUCCUGGGGGAACCCUGUCCCAGCUCAGCCGCUGCCCUGCUCACCCUGUGGGGGCUUCAACACCAGCACCAGCAGCCCCCCUGCCCACCACCACACCUCGGGCUAGAACCCCUCUCUGAGUCCGGGGCUCCACCGAGGCGCUUGGCCGAGAUGGCUGAGGAGCCGGCGGUGUUCCUUCUCUCCAGCCGGUGCGCUUGGAGAACAAAAGAGCCCUCGGGGAAGCUAGCUUUGGGCAGUGAGUUCAGAAUUUGAGGCAGGUCAGCAGAGGGUUUUAGUGAGUUCUCCCCACCUCCCUGAGCAAAUAAGAGUGUUUGCUGGGGAGACGUGUCCAGCUCAUGCCUGCUGUGCUUGCCCGGCAACCUGUGCAGACGAACGCGAAACCAGGAAACAGCCAGCCGUUGAUGACUGAGCAACUAGUGACUCUGGGGGAUCGGAACUGGCCACCUCAAAAUGUGUCUCUGCCUGGAGGACACUUUGGCCCCCCACCCCCACUGACUGACCAGGGGAGUUUGGGAUGGGAGGCCUGCCCCCAGAACAGGCUUCACCAUAGAAAUCUCCAGGUAUUUGGGAAGGUGCUUGCUAAGCCCAUUCUUAGUUCUGGUUACCCUGUGUAAGAGACAUUUACAUUUGUAAAGGAAAUCUCCAUUUGUAAAUGUAUCUUCUUCCCUGUACCAGGAAGAAGGGGCGGAUGGCCUUACCUAGAAACUUAUCAGAAUGGAAGGCGAGGACUUACACCUGCAUGAUAAACUUACCCUUGUUAACUGUGCUGUUGAGGCAAUAUGCUACCUGACUCCCACUCUUCCUAUAGGUAACAUCCCCCUGGAGCUGGGGUCACCAUUGUGGGAGAUCAAGAUUUGGCCACCCUGAAAUAUAUUUCUUUACCUUGAUUGUUUUCUCUGAGGGACAUUUGACCUCCCCCACUAACUGCCUAAAGAAUUUGACAUGGUGGCUCCUUUCUAGAACAGAUCUUCUAUCAUGAUGGCUAUAAAGAUAAUGUAGGAUAGAGGUUACAAUAACAAAGGCACCAAGCCUCUUUUAUCAAAAAACUCUGUCUCUCCCUGACCACAUUAUCUAUAGAUGACCCCAAAAAGAAUUGUCCUCCUGCCCUCUGAAGUCCCAGGCCACUACCCACCCCCAACACGCUCCUCGCCUUUAGCUACAAUACUUAAACAAACAGCUUAGACAGAGGGACGAGUUGCUCAUUUCUGAGUUUCUCCCAUGUAUACAUGUUAUUAAACUUGGUAUUAUUUUCUCCUGCUAACCUGCCUUGUUGAUUAUUUGGCCAACCAUAAAAACCUUAAAGAAAAGGGGAAAGGGAGAUUCUCCCUCUUCCCCCGACACCAUGAUAAUGGGUGUUUGAGCUAUUUUUUUCAGGAAUUGGAACCCCUUGUCCACUUCGGGCCAGAUUGAGACCACAACCCAUCAACUGGGCCCACGCAGACUUGUGUCCAAUAAGCGACCGUUUGACGUCCAGAGGUUGGAACUCCACCCUCAGGGCCUGCUAACCCGCCAUUCUGUGAACAUGCCUCCUAGACAGAGGCAUGAAGCCUGACUACGCUUGCGCAGACCAUCAACUACCUCAUCUCUCCUCACCUCCAAUCAUUUCAGACCACCCUGCCCCCUAGCCCGUAAAUAUCCCAGAGUCCCUAUUUUCAGGAAAGCGGAUUUGAGAUUCAUUCUCCUGUGUCCUCACUUGGCUGCCUUGUGAUUAAUAAACCCUCUCUCUCUGCAAUCUCGUCACGGACCUGGUGCGCUAACAAACCCAUACACUCACCCCCCUAGUCAGACGCUGAAACUCUACCCUCGGAGAACCCUUUUGGGUUCCCUAUUAAAAUGCAAAUGGCCCCAGGGAGAGGGAAUUCUUUAAACGAGGGCAGGAGAUGAGGAGGGCGGCAGGGCUCCCUCAGCCUGGGCUGUGGGCUCACCGUCAGCUCCCGGGGAACUCUAAACUGACACCUGCUCAGCACGGGAGGUGAGGAUGGGGGUAUGGAGGGCGGUGGGAG